rnacentral:rRNA from 1 species
CCUCUGGGUCCAACCUCCCACCCGUGUUUAUUUACCUUGUUGCUUCGGCGGGCCCGCCUUAACUGGCCGCCGGGGGGCUCACGCCCCCGGGCCCGCGCCCGCCGAAGACACCCUCGAACUCUGUCUGAAGAUUGUAGUCUGAGUGAAAAUAUAAAUUAUUUAAAACUUUCAACAACGGAUCUCUUGGUUCCGGCAUCGAUGAAGAACGCAGCGAAAUGCGAUACGUAAUGUGAAUUGCAAAUUCAGUGAAUCAUCGAGUCUUUGAACGCACAUUGCGCCCCCUGGUAUUCCGGGGGGCAUGCCUGUCCGAGCGUCAUUGCUGCCCUCAAGCACGGCUUGUGUGUUGGGCCCCGUCCUCCGAUUCCGGGGGACGGGCCCGAAAGGCAGCGGCGGCACCGCGUCCGGUCCUCGAGCGUAUGGGGCUUUGUCACCCGCUCUGUAGGCCCGGCCGGCGCUUGCCGAUCAACCCAAAUUUUUAUCCAGGUUGACCUCGGAUCAGGUAGGGAUACCCGCUGAACUUAAGCAUAUCAA